CAGCCAGUUCGGAACAGUUACCGCGCGUACUUUGUCACGUUCGCGUCGGUUAUCGUGGUCACAAGCCCACCGCGAGACUUGAACUGCUUUUCCUCAGUGAUCCUGAGCAUUUUGUCUUCGCUUCAAGACUCUUUUAAUUCCUUGCAUUGUAUCACGGGUGAAGACCAUCAAUGAAGAAACGCUUCAUGGAUCAGACCAAAGCCCAAUUACCGCAGAAAGCUUGCAUUCCAUGCAAUUUUUCAUCCAUCAUCCUUUCAUAAAAGUAUUUCUUUACGUCCCAUUUCUUGAAGGAUUCACAUUUGCAAUCUAAAUAAAAACACUCAAGGGAGAACCAGUCUGCACUGCGACAUAAUUAAUAUACAAAAUCCAAACUAAUAUACUGAUAUACUAACAUACAACAAAUAUAUAGAUAUUGUUUCCAAAUGGUUUCCAAGGUGUUGGAAGAGAAAUCAAUGUGGCUAACAUAGUUCAACCCCUAACGAACAAUCCUCAACUUUUUCUAUUAUUGUCAAUACAUGAAAUUUAAAGAGAUAUAUAGAAGCAAACCAUCACACUGGAUGGAAAACCAUGUUUUAAAACCAUCACACUGGAACCUCACAUAACUUGCUCAGAAGAAAGAAGAGAAGGAACCAAUCACGUCAAACAUAUUCUAACCACUGCUGAUCUCUUCUAUAUUCUUUCUAUUAUUGCCGAUAUUAAAUUCAAAGGAAUCUACAGCAUCGUUAUCUCCAAAAAGCGACUUGAUAUUCAUAAAACUUCGUCAGAACAAAGAAGAGAAGCAACAAACGAUGUCAAGCAUACUCAAACCACUAUUAACUCUUCUUCCUUCUUUCCAUUAUUGCUGAUAUAUAAAAUUUAAAGAGAUCUACGGAAUCAGUAUCCCCAUGUGAGCUCAAAGCUCUCACAGCCUCCUCAGAGCAAAGAAGAGAAGCGUUCAUUAUCGUCAAACACACUCAAACCAUUAUUAACUCUUUCUAUGUUCUUUCUAUCAUUGCCAAUAUAUAAAAUGUAAAUGAAUGUAAAGAGACAGCAUCUGUAGAAAGCCACUCGGGUGUGUCAUAAUCUCCUCAGAACAAAGAAGAGAAGCGAUCAUUAUUGUCAAACACACUCCAACCAUUACUAACUCCUUCUACGUUCUUUCUGUCAUUGCCAAUAUAUAAAAUGUAAAUCAAUAUUGAGAAGCAUCUGCAGAAAACCACUUGGAUGUGUCAUAAUCUCCUCGGAACAAAGAAGAGAAGUAACCAACAUCGUCAAACACACUACAAUCGCCACUGAAUUGUUCUCUGUUCGUCCCAUUAUUGCUGAAAUAUAACAUUUCAAGGAGUCUACAGAAUCGAUAUCUUCAAAAAGACAUAACAUACUUCUUCAGAAGAAAGUUCAGUAGCCAGCGUGGUCAAAGAUACUCCAAACGCUACCAAACUAUUCCCUAUUAUCACAGAAGCGAUUAGUUAUCAAGAGAAAGCGACAAAGCGUUCAGCGACGAGUAUAACUGGAGAAUAAAAAAGUCCUGGAGCUGGGUAAGCGACGUGGAUCGUAGUUACGAAGAGGCAGCUUAAACGUGGAGCGUUCAUCGGUUCAGAAGAAAUUCCUUUUGCCUUUGUCAGCGUUCCUCUGCACGAGAUAAAGGAUUCAGCCAGCCAGAAUUCGUUCGUGCAAACGAUAGAGAAGACAGGAACAGCGUGGCCGCGGGGAUAUUCGAUUGAAUAGCCGAAUUCGAUUACGUUUCGUGUUGGAGAAAAUGGUUUCCGAUGACGAGAGAUGAAGAAACCCGAGGACAGGGUAUAUUUGCUGUAUGUCGUAUGGGCGUGUUCGUUGAAGUUGUAUGCAUGUAGAGGCAAAAGGAAGUGAAAAUGGACAAUUAAAGGAAACAUGGGCAUCGGUAAUGCCAUUGGCAAUAGCACGCAGGAGUUCUGCAGCGACAAGUAUAAGGACUUUCAGCCUCCAGAUGGAGAGCUGUGGUGUGAACCGGUCUGGGACUCUUUGCUCUGCUGGCCACCGACCAAAGCAUCUACGACGACCAAACAGAAAUGCCCAUUCGAAGAUGUAUUCGACGCAACCAAAUCGGUGGAGAAGAAGUGCGGUUACAAUGGUCGAUGGGAGGGGCAGAAUGGGACGAAUAACGAGGAAUACUCGCACGGCUGGGCAAACUACACAACUUGUUUGACACCAGAAAUGCUCCGGCUGCAUGGAAAAGUUUACACCAACACCGUCGAGGGUAACAUGAAGCUGGACAUAGCUGAAAAGACUCGAACGUUAGAAUUCGUUGGUUUAAGCAUCUCUCUAGUAGCUUUGCUUGCUUCGCUUGCCAUAUUCUGUCGUUUUAGGUCCCUGAGAAACACAAGGACCAGGAUACACAAGAAUCUGUUCGUCGCCAUGGUUGUCCAGGUCUUGAUUAGAUUAACACUGUACAUAGACAUUGAGGUCCUCAGAAGGAAGACUUAUGGUAUUCAACAUGGCAUUGGAAACACCCCUGUGCUCUGUGAGGCCAGCUACGCCCUUUUGGAGUACACCAAAACCGCUAUGUUCAUGUGGAUGUUCAUAGAGGGACUGUUCUUGCAUAAUAUGGUCACUGUAACGGUGUUCCAAGAAAACUCAUACUACAGGAUGUAUCGGUUCAUCGGAUGGGGAUGUCCCGUCAUAAUGACGCUAGUUUGGGCCAUCAUCACCGCCUUCUAUUACCAUCCAAAGUCGAAAUUUACCAGAUGCUGGUCUGGAUACAAUCUGUCUUCCUACUUUUGGAUCCUAGAGGGACCUAGAUUUGCAGUGAUAUUGCUCAAUUUUCUGUUUCUGCUGAACAUCGUCAGAGUGCUCGUGGUGAAGCUUCGACAGAGUCACACCAGCGAAAUCGAGCAAGUCUUGAAAGCUGUGAGGGCAGCUGUGGUGCUUCUGCCUUUACUAGGCAUCACCAACGUGCUCUUCAUGAUCGAGGUGCCCCUGCACAACGUGAAGAAAUUCGCCUUGUGGUCUUACUCUACGCAUUUCCUUCAAUCCUUUCAAGGUCUCUUCAUCGCAACACUGUACUGCUUUUUAAAUGGCGAGGUGAGGCUCGCUCUGGACAAAACUAUUUCUGUCUACCUGUCUCUAAGAGGAACUGACUUACAAGCAAGAAGACAGUCGACAUUCAGUGGUUGUCAACCCCAAAGAAUCGCGUCGGUGAUCGAGAUGGAGGAAGAGGAGAUAAGACCCAGCGGAUGGAUAAGACUGUGCUGUCGAGGUGGAAAUACUCCACCACCGGACCGACCUGCCGAGUGAGUAAUGAUCGAGGAAACUUCGCCAUUCCGCACUUAGAUCAUUACCAACAUCGAAGGUUGAUCCUCCUCGCAACAUCGUACCAGUAGAACAGCUGUCUGACCAUGGAGCCUCUUUGGACGAAAGCUUCGAAGUUCCAUUCAGACCAUGAAGAUGAGCUGUGAGCUUCUGUGGAUCAUGAAAAAUGGACAACCUGAAAUUAAUCUAAAGACUCAAUCGUUCGACUUUCAAUUAGUAGAAAUUUGAUUAGAGUAAUGGAUGAAGAUGAUGAGCACAGCGUAAAACUUGACCUGAUUAACAUUCUGAAUGUUUCAAUAAACUUCUUUACUCGAGCAGCAUGGCCAUCAAAUUUUGUAAUUUCUAGAGACAUUGUAAGAUAUCUAUGAAAUGUUAAUUAAUAAUUUACCGAUGUCUGAUUGAGUGGAUAUUGAGGAAGAAUGAUGGAUGGAAAUCUGGAAUUUGAAGACUUUUUGUUGAAAAGUUGGAAAGUAAAUUGUAUGUGACAUAAGUCAUAGUGAAUGGCAUGAGGAAAUUGUUAAAGAUGAUUAUUAAGAAUUAGUGAAUCGUGUGAAUAUACACUUCUCUUCAUUUUCUUCUUAAUGAGAAUUAUUUCAAGCGACAUAUCAUAGAGAAUUGAAAUGGUACCUCUACAAAAAUGACUAAUAAUUAAUCAAAUUCAGGAAGUUAAUUUUUUUUUAAUAAAAAUGAGUUGUAUAUAUUAAGAACAGAAUUUACGAGAGACACAUUCAAGUGAAAUUCAAUUUAUUUUUUGAUAUCUUCAUUUGGAAGAAAAACGAUAGAAGAGAGACGUUUAUAGAUGUAAUUGACGUACGUGUAUUGCUGUUUCUAUUUUUUAAAAUAUAAUCGUGGCUGAUAAUGCAUCAAUUGCGUCCUAUGCUAUUUAUCUAAUACAUUAGAGAAUGCACCAUGUGCAUCUUGGGAAGAAAUUAAUUCCAAUCAGAGUGUAAAAGAUAUUUGACAAUAUAAGAAUUUCAAAUUAAACAAUCCAAAAUGUCAAAUAAAUUAAGAGAACGUUCUGUAAUCUAUGCUUAUAAAAAAUCGUUAUAAUAACAAUAUCAUUUUUUCUGGAAUUAACCCAGACAAAAAGAAAAUAAAAUAAAACUGGGAAACCAGAAGGUUUUCAAAUAUCCUAUUGUAAAUAUUUAUUUUAUGGGUGAACUGAAGCUUUGAUAAUUAAUUUUUGAUCAACAAAUUUUCAUUGAAUAGCUGUAACACUCUCUUCAUGAAUUAUAGACUGACUACUGCGACAGAACGUACUGUGUAAUAUUUUUAAGCUUUUGUCAAACGGCCCAGGGUAUUUAAUUUGUAAGGCUAGCUAAUUAGCGAGCGCAUCAUCGCUUGUAUGACUUUGUAGCUAUGAGUUUUUUUAAAAUGUAAAUAAAUUAUCGUGACAUGUACCCUGUUUGAUGAAGUUUUUUGCAGAAUUGUGACUUUAAUUUUUACACUUUCUAUAAGCAUAAUUUUAAUCACAAUUUUUAUACUUUUUAUAUAAUUCUAAAUUAUAAUUCUUUAUAACAUUUAGAAAAUAGUAUACAUUUCACAACAUUGUUAUCUCAAAAUUUUAUAGAAUUUUAAAUUAAAUUAGGAAACACACGGUUUGUUUUAAGUAGAAAUAUAUAAUAUUCUGAUAUUUGCAAAUAAUUUUUAUUGCCACCAUAAAUGUACAACAAAACACGUUUUAUAAAGUAUAAGAUUGUUUCUUCGAGGAGGAACAUUCAUAAUUUUUAUUUCUACAAAUUUCAGUCAACGUAAAAUAUAUGUCCUCUAUAAUUACAUAUAUAACACAUUUAUGUAAAUACUUCUUAAAGACGCAAAUUAAAUCUAUUUAAUAAUAGACAAAAUUUUGCACGAUUAGAAUUCUUCAAGUUAUAAAAGUUUAACGAAGAAACUUCUGUUAAACAAAUAACCGUGGAGAUCCACUGAAAGGACGGAUUUUAAAAUCUGAUUCAUAUCUUCAACAUCGUUCCUUUCAAGUUUACUAUUACUGUCCAUUUUCUUUCCCCGUUCAGAAUUUGUUCUAUCACGAAUUAACAGAAAAGUGCAAUAAAUAAUCUUAAAAAAUCUUAUAGUAGUAGACAUAACCUUAAUGGACGUCCUAACCUCAAUUUCGAAAAUAAUAUUCUACGUUAAAAGACUAUCACAGACACGGUUUAAAAACACAUGAAAAUCUUCGUUGUGCUUUUCAAUAAACGUACAAAGUUCAAUAUAUAAUAGUAAUACUGGAUUAUCUAUUAGAGAGAGAGAGAGAGAGAAAGAGA